GCACUGCUGAGUCCCAUAAUAGGACGAAACGGCCGUCAGUGC
rnacentral:hammerhead_ribozyme from 1 species